UUGGAGAGUUGAGCGAGGUUCUGUCGAGGUUCCAGUCUACGACUCUGUCAUUACAUCAAAAAUAAAAAUUAUAAGUUAAAACAUAAAUGAAAUUACAAAAUUCCUAUCUAUGCGACUUCUUUUGGACUCUUGACUUGAGUUUCAUCACCCUAUUCUUCAGGCGGGCUCCUGACUUGUAAUUUCUUCAACUUUUUGCCUGACUUUCAAUUUCUUCACCCUGUUCUCUAGGUGGGCUCCUGACUUGCUAUUUUUCAAUUUGUGGACUUUCAAUUUCUUCACCUUGUUAUUUGACUUUCAAUUUAUUCUCCCUGUGCUUCAGGCGGGUUCCAAUGUUGCUUGAAUUAUCAAAACAAGGAAGUGUGCUGCUUACAAAUGCCGCUUGAAUUACCCAAACAAGGAAGUGCGUCUCCUUACAAAUUCCGGUUGAAUUACCCAAACAAGAAAGUGCAUCUCCUUACAAAUGUCGAUUGAAUUACCCAAACAAGGAAGUGCGUCUCCUUACAAAUGCUACUUGAAUUUUGAAAUAAGAAAGUACGUCUCAUUUCCAAUGCCGCUUGAAUUACCUAAAUAAGGAAGUGCGUCUCCUUACAAAUGCCCAUUGAAUUACCAAAAUAAGGAAGUACGUCUCCUUACAAAUGCCGCUUGAAUUACCAAAAUAAGAAAGUGCGUCUCCUUACCAAUGCCUGUUGAAUUACCCAAAUAAGGAAGUGCAUCUCUUUACAAAUGCCGCUUGAAUUACACAAACAAGGAAAUGUGUCUCCUUACAAAUGCCACUUGAAUUAACCAAACAAGAAAGUGCGUCUCCUUACCAAUGUUGCUUGAAAUGUCCAAACAAAGAAGUGCGUCCCCUUACAAAUACUACUUGAAUUACCAAACAAGGAAGUGCGUCUCCUAACAAAUGUUUCUUGACUUACCAAAACAAGGAAGUGCUUCUUCUUACCAAUGUAGCUUGAGUUACCCAAACAAGGAAGUGCGUCUCCUUACAAAUGCCACUUGAAUUACACAAACAAAGAAAUAUGUCUCCUUACAAAUACCACUUGAAUUAACCAAACAAGGAAGUGCGUCUCCUUACAAAUAUUGCUUGAAAUGUCCAAACAAGGAAGUGUGUCCCCUUACAAAUACCACUUGAAUUACCAAACAAGGAAGUGCAUCUCCUAACAAAUGUCUCUUGAAUUACCAAAACAAGGAAGUGCAUCUCCUUACCAACGCCGCUUGAAUUACCCAAACAAGAAAGUAUGUCUUCUUACAAAUACCGCUUGAAUUACACAAACAAAGAAAUGCGUCUCCUUACAAAUACCACUUGAAUUAACCAAAUAAGGAAGUGUGUCUCCUUACAAAUGUUGCUUGAAAUGUUCAAUAAAGAAAGUACGUCCCCUUACAAAUACCAUUUGAAUUACCAAACAAGGAAGUGCGUCUCCUAACAAAUGUCUCUUGAAUUACCAAAAAGAGGAAGUGCGUCACCUUACCAAUGCCGCUUGAAUUACCCAAACAAGGAAAUGUGUCUCCUUACAAUUGUCGCUUGAAUUACACAAACAAGGAAAUGUGUCUCCUUACAAAUGUCACUUGAAUUAACUAAACAAGAAAGUGUGUCUCCUUAUAAAUGUCGCUUGAAUUACCCAAACAAGGAAGUGCAUCUCCUUACAAAUAUUGCUUGGAUUACCCAAACAAGAAAGUGCAUCUCCUUACAAAUGUUGCUUGAAUUGCCCAAACAAGGAAGUUUGUUUCCUUACCAAUGUUGCUUGAAUUAACCAAACAAGAAAGUGCGUCUCCUUACAAAUAUUACUUGAAUUAUCCAGACAAGAAAGUGUGUCUCCUCACAAAUAUCACUUGAAUUAUCUAAACAAGGAAGCGCAUCUCCUUACAAAUGUCUCUUGAGUUAUCCAAACAAGGAAGUGUGUCUCCUAGAGAUAUUGGAUGAUGAGUUUUACCAUGGUUUUGAUUACCAAGCCUGUGCACAAUAUUGUCUCCUGCAUUUGUGGAAGUGAGACAUUGCAACUUUUCAUGUUUAGGCUUUGAAAUCCUUGAUUCGAAGGUAAUAUGUAUUCCUGUUUCAUACAAAGAAAACUUGUUAGUUUAAAAACAUGGUGGCUGAUUUGUGGCUUUGGCUUUUGUGGCAAUCGCUCUUACCCUUGUCACAUUAAUCUUGCUGUCAACCAUUAGCAUAUGUCAUUGACUCACUCCAUCAUUGAUUCGAACUUGGAUUAUCAAGAGUGACUCUGAAACAAACACAGUAUUUUUGCUUUGCCAUGCUUCUCAGAUAAACUCUUUGAGCCUUAAUAUUUCCAUAAGUUCCUAGACUUAUUUAUUGACAAAACUUUCAGCAUGCCUUAUUUCAGCUUACAAUCAUGUCUCUUUCAUGUGUUGGCCUUUUGUCUUGCUUUGUGUAAUUGAAGAAGCUGGUAGCCAGUUUUGAAAUCUUUUCUCACUUGUUUUGAUAUAGAGUUGACUCAAAGACAAGAGAAAAAUGACAAUGACUUUUAUUUGGAUAAUUGACUCGAGAAAACAAAAUAAAAAUAAAGAGAAGAAAGAAAAGACAAUGAAUGUCCCCAUUUGAAAUAAAGAAAUGAAAAAACUAUCUAGAAAUAACAAUCAACUCUAAUGAUUAUACCAUGUAUAUUGGAUCAAGCUUCCCGAUCUUUCCAUCCAAACUUUCUACCAAUUGUUCUUGAGUUAAUGGCUCUGAAACUAAGUUACUUGCUUGGACCCAUUGCAUUCUAAGAGCUCAUUCGGCUAGUGGCACAUUGAAGGAUUUUUGCCAACAAGUCUCUCAUUUUUCUCUCAACUCACCAUCGCCUUAUGAUGCCCAUGGUGCCCAUGGGUUUUCACCAAUAAAACUCUCUCAUUUUUAUCUCUCUCAACUUAUCAUUGCCUUAUGGUGCCCGUGAGGGUUUUCACCAAUAAAAUUCUCAUUUUUAUUUCUCUCCUAAUUUCUUAUGCAAAGAAAGACGAGUAGUUCCCAAAAUGUGUCAUCAUAUCCAUUGCAUGCUUAGUCUUAACAUUCUCAAAGAUUGAUCUGAAGGUCUUUCUUUGGUUGUAACUAAUUUUUUGGAGAGGGUUAGAAAGAAAGGAUGGCAUGGGGCCCAAAUAACACUUGAAGUGGGGUGACACUUACAAUUUUUGGAAUCGACUCAAACAAUGAGGAUACCUCAUGCCCCAGUUUAUUUUGACUAGGUGACUAUAAAUUGUUUAUUUGGUUGGACCGAGCCUCGGGUAGAGGAGCCUACGUAUCUCACCCCCGAGAGAAGAGAAUCAGGUCAUGCGUAGUUCUGACAGCUUGUUCUUUUACUUGAUUCUGAUUAUUUUUCCUUUUAUUGACUUUUUCUCUUUGGAACUUUUCUGACUCUAUUUUUCUGAAUAGAUUUUUACGAGACCUGCGAAGAGGAUAAUUUGUAAAAAAAAAAAAAAAACCAUACUUUUAGUUGACUUUCAUUCUAUAUAUUUCCAACAGUGAUUCGAAUCCAUAUUCUCUACUAAUUCUAGGUAGACACAAGCAACCACAUAUCGUAAUAUACAAGAUGAGUAACGAGUGAUGCGAGACGAGAUGAUUUGUAUAUUCCUAAAACUCAAUCUGUAAAUAAUAUAAAGAGAGUAGAUGAAACAAAUAUGCACCUAAAAGGGCGAUGUACAGUUGUGUGACUCCUCUAACUCAUAUGUAUUUGGUAAAAUAUAAAACAGGGGAGGAUAAACUCGUCACACUAAACAUCCAUAUAUUGAACAGUCGACAAUUUAAAACAAGGCCCCAUAUUCAGGAAUCGUAUUCGCAGAGAACAAGAAACAACACCAACAUAUACUUAAAAGCCAAAUAAGUUACAUAUUAACAUAGCCAAAAUAUAUGUAAGAGAAAAGGGAUGAAGGCCGAGUGAUGACCUUGUUUUGAGCAGCAAACUUGAGGCUUCAACGUCAAGUUUCCGGCUUGAGCUCGACUUUGGAACUCAAUCUCGGAAUCAAGAAAAUACCAAAGAUUUUUUAAAAAAUUGAAUGUGUGCUCUCCCCUCUCCGAAUUUGAAAUCUUAAUUUUCUCUCUUAUCCCCCGAAACCGUGAACCCCGUUUUGAACCUUUCUCAACGAAGUCCCUUUAUUUCGGAUUUCCCCCAAUUUUCUAAAUCUCCCUCUUCUAUUUUUGAACAUCCAAAAAACCCCCAAUCCAUUCACCCUCCAAUCAAAAACCUCCCCACCUCAAGAGUGAAAAAUGUAACUAUUUAUCGGCAAAUCCGGACUUGAAAGUCCGGAUUUGAAACCAAAAAUUUGCAGGGGCCAACGGGCAAAUCGAAGGGGAGGAAAUCAAAAUUUAAAAAUUGAAAGGGACCUCACAUACUCGAAAUUUCAAACGUUUCUCAUGCCUUAAUGGUGGAUUUCAAAAGACACCUCUAUUACUGCACCAAUUUGGGACUGUUUCUCUCUGAUUUCAGAGAUUCGUGGGUUGGACUUGGCCGAGAAGGGGAGAAUCUUGGUAGGCUAGCGGCAGGGGCGCGACAGCUAUUGCUGCUAGCCCCUCCGAUUUGGGUGAGAGAGAGGAAAUGGGAAGAGAAAGGAAAAAAGUCGUUUGAUUUUGUUUUGUUUUGGGAAGAGUUAUGCUGAUGGAACGUUGCUCCUUGGGAAAGGAAAAGCGUGUAUUUGCCUAGGGGAGAGGAAGACAGUUGUUUGUAUUGGUUCCUUGAUUAAUUUUGAUCCAUGAAUAAAUAUUCUAAAAAUAAUAGUAAAGUAUAUAUAAGCUGAUUUAAAAUUGAUUAUUUUGUUUUUAUGUUUUAGGUUUAUCAUUAAAAGUUUGUAUUAGAAGAGUCAAAGAUAGUAGAACAAAAAUAUUCUGGUCGAAAAAGAAUAGAUCAAUUUUCUUAUUUAUUUUCCUCCAAAUAAGAUGGUCUUUGUUUCAAUGACAAUACUUGUCAAAUUUGUCUUUCGGAGUUUUAAAAAAAAUGUGUUUGUACUCCCAUG
rnacentral:lncRNA from 1 species